rnacentral:misc_RNA from 1 species
UAGUAUAUGGAAUCUCCAUUCUAUAAACCCACUCUGCGUAUCUUGUAACUGUUGCUUCCAUGGGACUUGGUUCCGCCACACCGGCUUCACGGCUGGUGAGCGCCCAUGGAAGGAGAAACAAAACUCUUCUUUGAAAUGUAGUCAGUCUGAACAAGUUUUUAUAAACGUUA